GGAUGAGGUGCCUGCAGGUGGCUGUGCAGUCAGCCUUCCCAUCCCUCUGUCCCACGCUUACCACGUGCUCCUGGCCACCUCUUAGUUCAGGAUCCUAAGAUUCUAUUCCGAUUCCUAUUUGAAAGAUAAGGAGGCCCAAGACCGAGAGGAGAUCUGAAACAAGCCAGCAAACACAAGCUAUCUCCUCUUCUGCCCUGGCCAUAGAUGCCUGCUGGCCUGGAGGCAUCUGUCAGAGAGGUGCUUUUGCCCCAGGCCUCUCCAUAUUUUGUAUGUCUUUAUAGCCAUCACCCCAUUUUCUCACUGUGUAUUUGCCAUCCUAUAUCUGCCUCGAACAGUGAGCUCCUGAAAAUCAGGGAUUUCAACUUCACAUCCUCACCGCCUGCCAUGGUACCCAGCAUGUGGUCUGUGUGGUCACCCUAAUGUACCUACUGCUCUACCAAGUCUGCACCAAGACAGGGUGGAGCAUGGAAAAAGAGACAAUUCUCUGAGCCUGGAUGGAGCAAAGCUGAGCUUGUCUCCAGAGGAUCAGGGACACACUCCCCAGCGGUGUAGCAGCCUUCAGGACGCAUGGGGGCCUCGUGCUGGCUGCACCCCAAGCCCCCGGGGAGGCAUGGAGGCACCAGCAUGCCUGUGACCAGUGACUGCCCCAGCUCACUGCUACAGCGGACCCCAGCUUUGGGGAGGGGCUGCAACAAUGUGUUUAAGUGUCCCCAAAUCCUUGGAUCGAAUCACAAUUGGAUUAUUUUUAGGAAAAUAAAGAACUCAAAAUUC